rnacentral:rRNA from 1 species
GUUAAGCGACUAAGCGUACACGGUGGAUGCCCUGGCAGUCAGAGGCGAUGAAGGACGUGCUAAUCUGCGAAAAGCGCCGGCGAGGUGAUAUGAACCUUUGACCCGGCGAUGUCCGAAUGGGGAAACCCAGUGUGUUCCGACACACUAUCGUUAACUGAAUACAUAGGUUAACGAGGCGAACCGGGGGAACUGAAACAUCUAAGUACCCCGAGGAAAAGAAAUCAACCGAGAUUCCCCCAGUAGCGGCGAGCGAACGGGGAGGAGCCCAGAGUCUGAAUCAGCGUGUGUGUUAGUGGAACGGUCUGGAAAGUCCGGCGAUACAGGGUGACAGCCCCGUACACGAAAGCACACAGGCUGUGAACUCGAAGAGUAGGGCGGGACACGUGGUAUCCUGUCUGAAUAUGGGGGGACCAUCCUCCAAGGCUAAAUACUCCUGACUGACCGAUAGUGAACCAGUACCGUGAGGGAAAGGCGAAAAGAACCCCGGCGAGGGGAGUGAAAAAGAACCUGAAACCGUGUACGUACAAGCAGUGGGAGCACCCUUUGGGGUGUGACUGCGUACCUUUUGUAUAAUGGGUCAGCGACUUAUAUUCUGUAGCAAGGUUAACCGAAUAGGGGAGCCGAAGGGAAACCGAGUCUUAACUGGGCGUUAAGUUGCAGGGUAUAGACCCGAAACCCGGUGAUCUAGCCAUGGGCAGGUUGAAGGUUGGGUAACACUAACUGGAGGACCGAACCGACUAAUGUUGAAAAAUUAGCGGAUGACCUGUGGCUGGGGGUGAAAGGCCAAUCAAACCGGGAGAUAGCUGGUUCUCCCCGAAAGCUAUUUAGGUAGCGCCUCGUGAACUCAUCUUCGGGGGUAGAGCACUGUUUCGGCUAGGGGGUCAUCCCGACUUACCAACCCGAUGCAAACUGCGAAUACCGAAGAAUGUUAUCACGGGAGACACACGGCGGGUGCUAACGUCCGUCGUGAAGAGGGAAACAACCCAGACCGCCAGCUAAGGUCCCAAAGUCAUGGUUAAGUGGGAAACGAUGUGGGAAGGCCCAGACAGCCAGGAUGUUGGCUUAGAAGCAGCCAUCAUUUAAAGAAAGCGUAAUAGCUCACUGGUCGAGUCGGCCUGCGCGGAAGAUGUAACGGGGCUAAACCAUGCACCGAAGCUGCGGCAGCGACGCUUAUGCGUUGUUGGGUAGGGGAGCGUUCUGUAAGCCGUUGAAGGUGUGCUGUGAGGCAUGCUGGAGGUAUCAGAAGUGCGAAUGCUGACAUAAGUAACGAUAAAGCGGGUGAAAAGCCCGCUCGCCGGAAGACCAAGGGUUCCUGUCCAACGUUAAUCGGGGCAGGGUGAGUCGACCCCUAAGGCGAGGCCGAAAGGCGUAGUCGAUGGGAAACAGGUUAAUAUUCCUGUACUUGGUGUUACUGCGAAGGGGGACGGAGAAGGCUAUGUUAGCCGGGCGACGGUUGUCCCGGUUUAAGCAUGUAGGCGGAGGUUCAAGGUAAAUCCGGUACCUUUUAACGCUGAGGUGUGAUGACGAGGCACUACGGUGCUGAAGUAACAAAUGCCCUGCUUCCAGGAAAAGCCUCUAAGCUCCAGGUAACACGAAAUCGUACCCCAAACCGACACAGGUGGUCAGGUAGAGAAUACCAAGGCGCUUGAGAGAACUCGGGUGAAGGAACUAGGCAAAAUGGUGCCGUAACUUCGGGAGAAGGCACGCUGACAUGUAGGUGAAGCCCCUGCGGGUGGAGCUGAAGUCAGUCGAAGAUACCAGCUGGCUGCAACUGUUUAUUAAAAACACAGCACUGUGCAAACACGAAAGUGGACGUAUACGGUGUGACGCCUGCCCGGUGCCGGAAGGUUAAUUGAUGGGGUUAUCCUUUGGGAGAAGCUCUUGAUCGAAGCCCCGGUAAACGGCGGCCGUAACUAUAACGGUCCUAAGGUAGCGAAAUUCCUUGUCGGGUAAGUUCCGACCUGCACGAAUGGCGUAAUGAUGGCCAGGCUGUCUCCACCCGAGACUCAGUGAAAUUGAACUCGCUGUGAAGAUGCAGUGUACCCGCGGCAAGACGGAAAGACCCCGUGAACCUUUACUAUAGCUUGACACUGAACAUUGAGCCUUGAUGUGUAGGAUAGGUGGGAGGCUUUGAAGCGUGGACGCCAGUCUGCGUGGAGCCAACCUUGAAAUACCACCCUUUAAUGUUUGAUGUUCUAACCUGGCGCCGUAAUCCGGCGUGGGGACAGUGUCUGGUGGGUAGUUUGACUGGGGCGGUCUCCUCCUAAAGAGUAACGGAGGAGCACGAAGGUUGGCUAAUCCUGGUCGGACAUCAGGAGGUUAGUGCAAUGGCAUAAGCCAGCUUGACUGCGAGCGUGACGGCGCGAGCAGGUGCGAAAGCAGGUCAUAGUGAUCCGGUGGUUCUGAAUGGAAGGGCCAUCGCUCAACGGAUAAAAGGUACUCCGGGGAUAACAGGCUGAUACCGCCCAAGAGUUCAUAUCGACGGCGGUGUUUGGCACCUCGAUGUCGGCUCAUCACAUCCUGGGGCUGAAGUAGGUCCCAAGGGUAUGGCUGUUCGCCAUUUAAAGUGGUACGCGAGCUGGGUUUAGAACGUCGUGAGACAGUUCGGUCCCUAUCUGCCGUGGGCGCUGGAGAAUUGAGGGGGGCUGCUCCUAGUACGAGAGGACCGGAGUGGACGCAUCACUGGUGUUCGGGUUGUCAUGCCAAUGGCAUUGCCCGGUAGCUACAUGCGGAAGAGAUAAGUGCUGAAAGCAUCUAAGCACGAAACUUGCCCCGAGAUGAGUUCUCCCUGAGACUUAGAGUCUCCUGAAGGAACGUUGAAGACGACGACGUUGAUAGGCCGGGUGUGUAAGCGCAGCGAUGCGUUGAGCUAACCGGUACUAAUGAACCGUGAGGCUUAACC